UAUGUGCAAAGCCGACUAGAAUUGAUUUGUUGCUUUUUUGUUUAGGAUAUUAAUGUGACUUUUUAGAAGAAAUAUAUUUGGUAUCUUCCUGAGUUCUCAGCAGAGAAAUCUUUUGGAACUUCCUGAGUGACAGAGAGGAAAGAAUUACAAGAGAACAAGAGAUGCUUCUGUUGCUUGGCUCCCUGUCUUCUAAGGUGCUAUACUCAGCAGCCCACGUGAGCACUGUCACAUACUCAGAAAGAACAGAGCAAGGAGCAGCACUCUACGGCAUCCACUGGUUCAGCACCACAUUGCUGUGGGCUCCACAAACAAAGCAGAAAAGACUAGCAUGGUAACAGGAAGCACAGGAACAUGAUAGGGGUUAAGUGGACAAAGAUCUACAACAUUUUGUAUUAUUUCCCUUUUUAAAAGGGAAAACAAAAAGACUUAAAAUAAAGUUACCCUAUAAUGAGGCAACAAUGUCCCAAUUAGACACUACAAGCCAAUAAAUAAAAAGCCCAGUACCAGGAAGCAGUUACUUUUGGAGUUGCUGACCACUGAGGUCCCACAGAUCCUCAAACAUUACAGGCUAUUGUCAACUUACUGCUUUCUCUCCAGAAUUCUACAGUAAGACCCUGUUGCUGAAGACACCACAUAGUUGAGUCAUACAACAUUUUUGAGAACUCAAGCUGGUGCUGACCUGGAAUCUUCCUACCAACUUGCUAGCUUUCAUAGUGCUGGACAGAGCAAUGCAUACCAGUGAAGGAGAGAGGAAGCAUCAACUUUACCCUGAGAACCCUGUGAGCUACAACUAUCACUGGCCUGGAAAAAUAAGUCCACUGGCGCAAUAGUGGCACAGAUGUCAUCAGAGUAAUCAAACCCUUUCUGGUUGAAUUUUAGUACUGUUCUACAAGAGAAGCCCAUACCUGGCACCAUUAUUGCUCUAAGAACCUGUACACGGGUCAUAACCCCUAGAGGAGAACUUACACCUAUUAUUCUGCUAAAGGACAUAGUGUGAAACCAUCUCCUAAUGACUUCUCCUACCACAGACUGAUGAAUGCCCCCUUUCAGGCUGGGAUGUGGCUCAGUGCUAGAAGGCUUGCUUAACACGCUGGAGGUUCUGGACUCAAUUCUCAGCCCCACCGGGGAAAAACAUCUUCAGAAAGUCAUUGUUACAAUUUUGUUCUCACUGUAAAUAUUUUUGUGUUUAUUGAA